rnacentral:rRNA from 1 species
GUUUUUACCGCAUUGGAAUAGCCUAUUCGCAGAAGGAGGCCCCUUUUUUGUCUUCCCCUACCGGCACGAUACUGUAACACCCAGGUAUGAGGGCGCCGUUUCGAAGACGCUUUUUUUUGAUAGGAAGCUCUGCGACGUGCUGCCGUCCCUACGUAUCGAUACCGCUGCCGCCUCCGCUGUCCGCUCCCGAACCUCAAGGAUAGCCUCGGUCAAAUGUCCAAAGGAGACGGUCUAGAGUGGCGGCUACUUAGCGACGACUGGCCGCCUCCGUUGGUUUGAAAGCAUACGUGCCGAUGGCUUAGGUCAUAGCCACUACACCCGCUACGCCGCCACUGUACCCUUGAUCUAAACGUCUCGCUUACGUUACCUCACCGAGACAGGCGCGGCUUGAGUCUCGUCAGCUACCCGUUUCUGCUAGGAGUCCGCGGCCCGACCUGGUUCUCUGACGCACAACCCGUACGUGGACUUCAGGACUUCUUGCGGGAGGCACACGACCGUCUUACUCACGAGAACUUUUUUGUAACUCUUCUUUUGACUGACAACAAAGAAACACCGUAAACGUCCCCUAAGGCUUCUUUUCGUUGUGGGCCUGAACGGCCACGUCCACGGGGCGCGAGUAUGCUAACGAGGCUAGUUUCCUGUUACCUACCAUGUAUUCACUCAAGUAUGGUAGUGUGUUGGUAAGCAAUUACCUCUUCACACCGCUCUUCCACAUGAUCGGGAGUGUCUCUGUAUAGCUAUAUAUGUGUACACUACACCAAUUCGUCGAGGCACUUUUAUUGUUAUCGUAACCGUUCCAAAUGUUAUAUUAAACAUCAAAGAAACCAAGUUACAGGUUACACGGUAAGUGGUUUUCUCACAACUCCCCCGAUACACCGUUCUAGUCGGCACUCGUUCGUCUGCUACUACAGUCCUUCUGUUACCUACGAAAACGACUCAACCCUCGUUUUCUAUAACCAGACAUGAUGUCUCACGUCGGCCUACUCCUAUCGGCGUAUGCCUUAAACAAUACCAGUUGACCUAGUUCGUCCCGGGUCAUGGUGAAGAAACCUCUACGUUAUUGUAAACUAUGUUGUAUGGCAUGGCUGGAGAUACUGUACGGUAAACCGGACAAACACCCUCAGUUGUUGGUGAAGGUCUGGUACUAUAAACCACAGCAGGAUCAUUCUCUACUCUAUCAGCUCUGAAAAGUCACCCAAGUGACUUAAGUAGGCGUACUACCCGCCUUUUGUAGGUGUUUGAAACGAAUGUCUAGUUACGUCCAGGUACCUCUAUCGUUACCUCUUUCACUACGGUCUUUGGUGAGUGGCGACCACGUUCACCGUGCACGACUUCUUCCGUUUCCUUAGAGACCCUGGUAUGAUGUGUUUCGCGUUGUUUAAGUCCAGUCUCAAGGUGUUCUAUUAUGUAGUGUACGACUGUGACCUCCUUAAGCUUUGACGUACCUUCGUUGACUGUCUUAGUGUACCGAACCUUUUUGUAGGAAUGGAAUGAGUGUAGAUACUUUGUUCUCGUUUUACCCGAUUUGGUAUGAAGUUUCCCUUCGUUCACUUUUGAUACUCCUCUCUGCGUGUUUUUAACAUCGGGGUCAUAACUUUUACUUGUGUGGUUAUCUCAACGUACGUUCGUCUCAGAUAUGUGCUUGGUACAAGAUUUUUAAACCACUCUAAUAUAUGCCUCGUCCAGUUAUGUCUCAUCUCCUCCACUGAUCUGUCUUUUGGAUGAACCACGUUGCUAUGGUGGGUCUUUUUAUACUCUUCACCACGUCCUAACAGAUGUUUCAUCUUGAACGGCAGCUUCCCUUACUCAACUAUACACUCACAAGAUCAAAGCUUGUGUGUCCAGACGAUACGACGGUAAGUCACUUCCAUUUUUCAUUUAGGGAACCAUGUACUGCGCCGCACUCGCAAUGUGUGUUUGGACAUACUAUACGGUAAACCCGACGAACACUCUCAGUUAUUAGUGAAGGUCUCGUACUAAAAACCACCGCACGAUCAUUCUCUACCCUGUCACCUUUGAAAAGUUACCCACAAGUGACCUAAAUGGGCGUACUACCCGCUGUUUGUAGGUGUUUGGCACGAGUGUCUAGUUACGUUCCGCUACCUUCAUCGUUAUCUCUUUCACUACGGUAUGUGCUGAGUGGCAACGACGUUCACCGUGCACGUUAACCAUUAAAGUACCCCGAUUUUCGAGGUCUUGCUUUUGUUUUCGGGCCAGCUGGUUAGUGAACGUCCCUAUUUGGAGGCAUACUACUAGCACCACGUUUUUCGUUCUUCAUGUAUGACUGUCGUUUACGUGUUCGACCUUUACCUACGCCCUGUUCAUUUGCUUGAGCGAAGAGGUCAUAUACAACUCUUGGUCCCGUGUUCUAGUGGUGUACAGGUGUUACUCCACUAGAAGGAGUUUUUCUUUCCUUUCGCCGUUUUACGAGCUUAACACCGCAGUCACCAGUGUCCUUUUUAUGGACGUCGUUCGGAUCCCAACUUGAGGUACAACAACUUUUACGAUGGAAUCUCGGUUUACGUUAAACGGCCGCUGAAGUAAAUCUAAGUAACAAAAACAAGACACAACAACUCCCGAGACAUCGACAAUUGAAAUUGGCCUUCUGAGAACAACAUUAUUAUUGGCAGUCACUUCAUGCACAACAAACACCAGUCCAACAGCGACACUAAACUUAUAAAUAGUACAUCUUCUUUUUUACAUACUCAAAUUCUGAACGGAUUACAACAUCACACGUACACGUAGAGGGGAAAACAUAAAGUG